rnacentral:rRNA from 1 species
UACAGAGGGUGCAAGCGUUGUUCGGAAUUAUUGGGCGUAAAGGGUGCGUAGGCGGUGCGGUAAGUCUUUUGUGAAAUCUCCGGGCUCAACCCGGAGCCUGCAAGGGAAACUGCCGUGCUUGAGUGUGGGAGAGGUGAGUGGAAUUCCCGGUGUAGCGGUGAAAUGCGUAGAUAUCUGGAGGAACACCGGUGGCGAAGGCGGCAUCCUGGACCGGCAUCGACGCUGAGGCGCGAAAGCCAGGGGAGCAAACGGG